rnacentral:rRNA from 1 species
GACGAACGCUGGCGGCGUGCUUAACACAUGCAAGUCGAACGGAAAGGCUCCAGCCUGCUGGAGUACUCGAGUGGCGAACGGGUGAGUAACACGUGGGUAAUCUGCCCUGCACUCUGGGAUAAGCCUGGGAAACUGGGUCUAAUACUGGAUAUGACCUUUCUCCUUAUGGGGUUUGGUGGAAAGUUUUUCGGUGUAGGAUGAGCCCGCGGCCUAUCAGCUUGUUGGUGGGGUGAUGGCCUACCAAGGCGACGACGGGUAGCCGGCCUGAGAGGGUGAGCGGGCCCAUGGGACCUGGGAAGCGGCCCAAGUCCCCCGGGGGGGCAGGAGGGGGAAAUAUUGACAAAGGGGCGGAAGCCUGAGGCGGGGACCCCGGGGGGGGAGGGCCGGCCUUCGGGUGGAAAACCCUUUUCAGGAGGGACGAGGCGAAAGGGAGGUUACCUGCAGAAAAAGCCCCGGCUAACUAUGU